GUGUUCUCGUUGCGUUUGGAUACCAGGCACUUGCUUUGAAGCAGGGACUUGUAAAGAGAAAGAUGCAGUGGGUACGUAUGCAUCCAGCAUGCAGAAGGUGAAAUAUUUCUGCUUGGACUUAAGGUCCCCAACCUAAACAUGUCCGGCCAUGGCAGAACCCAAACCUGGCAGGAGCAACACUGAAGGGUGGGAGGUCUGCAGUGAAGGUACAGCAGGAGGCAGAGCCCAGAGCCCGCAGGCUGAGAACUUCUGCUCACCUUCUUUGCAGUUACUGGAACACGGAGGGUGGGCAAAUAGCAACUUAAAUGAUAAGCAGCCUCCUCGUAGUGCUCUGCAUGAAGCAGAGUUCACAGACAUUCGGAGCAAGGCGUUAUUAGGGUUCUGAAAGGAUGGGUAUCACUCAGCUGAAAGUAAAUGUUAACAUCUACAAGGUGAGCUUCUAGAAGGGUGAUCAUCCAUCGGUCUCAGGGCACAAGCCACACUCUGCCUCGUGGGGCUUAGGGGAGGUUCCUGCAAGGUGCCCAACACCUGGAGAGCUCCAAGGGAGCGAGGGGCUGUGCCUACCCAUAACAGCACCAAAUACUGAGAGCAGCCGUGAGCCGAGACAGCCAUGGCUGUGCCUGGGCAGGGAGGGGUUCAGGAGGGGCGGAGGAGAGCCACGACUGGCAGGCCAAGCAAUGGUAGCUGCACACACAGCGGGUUCACUGCGGGCUUUUUGCAUCCCCACCUUCCUGGAUGUGUGCUCCAAUUCACAAGAGGUACUCUGGUUAUUCCGUGACACAAGGCGGGGUAAGAAGCUCGCUCUGACCUCAUCUUUUGCCCUACUUCCUUAUCUCGGAAUCUGGUGCACAGUGCCACACUUGUUCUCCCACAUAGUUUCCUUCACUGCCCUUCUCCUGGUGGGGACGGAGUUACGGAGCAGUGCUUCGUGGGGCACUUACUCUGCACAGCUCCCCAGGUGGGGAUGCAGCUCACGCAGCCAAAAGUGCUCCUUCAGCUGCCUCCUUUAAAGGCAAACUACACCAGUAGGGAUUGCACACCUGGAGCUGAACCAGAAUCCUGCAUACAAGACCCCCACUCAGCAGGAAAGCAGCCCAGGCCUUCAUAGAUAAGUGCAG
rnacentral:lncRNA from 1 species